rnacentral:RNase_P_RNA from 1 species
CAAGUAGAUCGCCUUAUCGCUGUCCUGUCCCAAUUGCUAUUGGGACGGGAUGGAGGAAAGUCCGAACACCAUAGUGCAAUCAUAGUGGCUAACGGCCACCCACCGUGAGGUGAGGAAAAGUGCAACAGAAAGCAAGUACAGGUCAUGCUGUAGUGAAACCAGGUAAACUCUAUGUGGUGCAAUGUCAUGUAAACUAACGUUGACCUGCCUGUCAUCGAUUAUUUGAUGGAGGCAGUCGGGAGCGUGCACGCGCGAUUGUUAGAGGGUAGACAGCUAAAGUUUGCUGGUAACAGUAAACGCAGAUAAAUGAUGAGGGCUUUUCUUUUUUAGGAUUUAGAUUCUAGAAAAUGAAACGUACAGAAUUCGGCUUAUAGAUUUGCUUACUCA